rnacentral:rRNA from 1 species
GACGAACGCUGGCGGCGUGCUUAACACAUGCAAGUCGAACGGAAAGGCCCUGCUUUUGUGGGGUGCUCGAGUGGCGAACGGGUGAGUAACACGUGAGUAACCUGCCCUUGACUUUGGGAUAACUUCAGGAAACUGGGGCUAAUACCGGAUAGGAGCUCCUGCUGCAUGGUGGGGGUUGGAAAGUUUCGGCGGUUGGGGAUGGACUCGCGGCUUAUCAGCUUGUUGGUGGGGUAGUGGCUUACCAAGGCUUUGACGGGUAGCCGGCCUGAGAGGGUGACCGGCGACAUUGGGACUGAGAGACGGCGCAGACUCCUACGGGAGGCAGCAGUGGGGAAUAUUGCACAAUGGGCGGAAGCCUGAUGCAGCAACGCCGCGUGCGGGAUGACGGCCUUCGGGUUGUAAACCGCUUUCGCCUGUGACGAAGCGUGAGUGACGGUAAUGGGUAAAGAAGCACCGGCUAACUACGUG